rnacentral:rRNA from 1 species
AGUGAACGCUGGCGGUAGGCCUAACACAUGCAAGUCGAACGGCAGCACAGUAAGAGCUUGCCCUUACGGGUGGCGAGUGGCGGACGGGUGAGGAAUACAUCGGAAUCUACUUUUUCGUGGGGGAUAACGUAGGGAAACUUACGCUAAUACCGCAUACGACCUACGGGGGAAAGCAGGGGAUCUUCGGACCUUGCGCGAUUGAAUGAGCCGCUGUCGGGUUAGCUAGUUGGCGGGGUAAAGGCCCACCAAGGCGACGAUCGGUAGCUGGUCGGGGAGGAGGAUCGGCCGCAUUAGAGCGGGGACGCGGACCAUGGUCCUGCGGGAGGGACCAGAGGGGUAUGGUGGACAGUGGGCGCGAGCAUUGUCCAGCGGUACCGAGUGGGUGGAGGAGGCCUUCGGUUUGUAAAGCCCUUUUGUGGGGAGUGAAAAGCAGUCGGUUAAUACCCAGCUGUUCUGACGGUAGCCAAAGAAGAAGCACCGGCUAACUUCGUG